AGUGAACGCUGGCGGCAGGCCUAACACAUGCAAGUCGAGCGGAUGAAGGGAGCUUGCUCCUGGAUUCAGCGGCGGACGGGUGAGUAAUGCCUAGGAAUCUGCCUGGUAGUGGGGGAUAACGUCCGGAAACGGGCGCUAAUACCGCAUACGUCCUGAGGGAGAAAGUGGGGGAUCUUCGGACCUCACGCUAUCAGAUGAGCCUAGGUCGGAUUAGCUAGUUGGUGGGGUAAAGGCCUACCAAGGCGACGAUCCGUAACUGGUCUGAGAGGAUGAUCAGCCACACUGGAACUGAGACACGGUCCAGACUCCUACGGGAGGCAGCAGUGGGGAAUAUUGGACAAUGGGCGAAAGCCUGAUCCAGCCAUGCCGCGUGUGUGAAGAAGGUCUUCGGAUUGUAAAGCACUUUAAGUUGGGAGGAAGGGCAGUAAGUUAAUACCUUGCUGUUUUGACGUUACCAACAGAAUAAGCACCGGCUAACUUCGUG
rnacentral:rRNA from 1 species